GAAAGCUAAACUUUGAUUUGAUUAUGCUUUUACUCUUAUGUUAAAAAACUUUGAAAUAUUAUUGAGGUCUUCGAUCAUCAUAUGGGCUGAUUGAAGUCAGACAACUAAGAACAAAUUAGAAUUUAGCUUGCUAGAUUUUGCGGAGGGAGGAAAACUAGAGAGCCUGGAGAAAAACUCUCGACUCAAGGGAGAGACGGAACAAACUCUACUAUCAUGUGUUGGAGAGUUCAGGAAUCAAUCUUGAGUCCCCAGAGAUGAGAUGAGAAUAAAGUACUACCACUACACAACUCUUGCUUCCCGUCUAGAUAGUGACGAGAUCAUUAGAAGGUGGUUGCCUGGAAACGGUGUUAGGAAACGUGUUGUUAAGAGACAAGGGAGAAAAGAUAACGUUGCUAUGUGACAUUAUGAAUGAUUGCUUAGAAACGCUGUUAGAAAAACGAGUUGCUAAGAGACAAGGGAGCUGAUAGCGUUGCUAAGUGACAACAGGAACGCAGUGUUAGAAAACGAGUUGCUGAGAGACAGGGAAAAAGAUAAAGUUGCUAAGUGACAACAAUAAGAAGAGAUGGUUGCUUAGAAACGCAGUGUUGCAAAACGAAAGGGGCAAAAAAGUUGUUAACUAGUGACGAGAAUAUCAGCCCUUAUUGGUUGCUUAGAAACGCAAUGUUAAAAAACAAAAGCAAACAAAGCAAAUUUAGACAUUGUACAUGAGUUGCUGUUUGAUCAGAGCUUUGUCUUCCUGUGUUUCACAGACAAAUCCUUAGCUACUGUACACGUGUGUUUUUAAUCCUAGGUCGUGUAACUGCAUCUCCUUUUGCUUGUCUGAAAACCCAUUUAUUUGCAUAAUAUGCUAAUUAUUAUAUGAAAUUCCCGCCUAAAAAAUUCUCAGCUUCUUUGUUUGUAAUCGCAGGUCGUGUAGCUACGUCUCAUUAUACACACAAGGGAGGAGGAUCCAACUACUUGUGCUUGCCUGAAAACCCAUUUAUUUGCAUAAUAUGCUAAUAUAUUAUAUGAAAUUCC